GACGAACCGAGCGAACGUUGUUCGGAAUCACUGGGCUUAAAGGGUGUGUAGGUGGCGCCGUAAGUCGGGUGUGAAAUUUCGGAGCUUAACUCCGAAACUGCAUUCGAUACUGCGGUGCUUGAGGACUGGAGAGGAGACUGGAAUUCAUGGUGUAGCAGUGAAAUGCGUAGAGAUCAUGAGGAAGACCAGUGGCGAAGGCGGGUCUCUGGACAGUUCCUGACACUGAGACACGAAGGCCAGGGGAGCAAACGGG
rnacentral:rRNA from 1 species